rnacentral:sRNA from 2 species
ACUGAAUUUAGAAGGUGUUUUUUAAAGUUAGCGCAGGCUCGCAAGAGCCACCCCCUAAGCCCAGAACAAUGCGGAUUCGUUCUGGGCGUUUUUUA